UACGGGGGGGCAAGCGUUGUUCGGAAUUACUGGGCGUAAAGGGCUCGUAGGCGGCCAACUAAGUCAGACGUGAAACCCCUCGGCUUAACCGGGGAACUGCAUCUGAUACUGGAUGGCUUGAGAUUGGGAGAGGGAUGCGGAAUUCCAGGUGUAGCGGUGAAAUGCGUAGAUAUCUGGAGGAACACCGGUGGCGAAGGCGGCAUCCUGGACCAACACUGACGCUGAGGAGCGAAAGCGUGGGGAGCGAACAGG
rnacentral:rRNA from 1 species